GGGGUGAGUAAUGCGUGACCAACCUGCCCCAUGCUCCAGAAUAGCUCUUGGAAACGGGUGGUAAUGCUGGAUGCUCCAACUUGACGCAUGUCUUGUUGGGAAAGUGUUUAGUGGCAUGGGAUGGGGUCGCGUCCUAUCAGCUUGUAGGCGGGGUAAUGGCCCACCUAGGCUUCGACGGGUAGCCGGCCUGAGAGGGCGGACGGCCACAUUGGGACUGAGAUACGGCCCAGACUCCUACGGGAGGCAGCAGCC
rnacentral:rRNA from 1 species